rnacentral:lncRNA from 1 species
CAUGCACCCAAAGGAACUCUUCAAUUUAAUGUUUUGGUCUAUGGGUGAGGAACCUUAGGAGGAAGUGGUGGGAAGAGUGGAUGGUGGAAUGGAGGAAGUUUAGGGAAUGGUUUAAGUGGUGGGCAUGGCUUUUUGUAAAUUGGAACGGGUGGUGGCAGAGGUUUUACGUAAACUGGGACUGGAGGAGGAAGUGGCUUCACUAUUGGUGGCUUGUAAAUUGGAACAGGUGGUGGCAGAGGUUUUACGUAAACUGGAACUGGAGGAGGAAGUGGCUUCACUAUUGGUGGCUUGUAAAUUGGAACAGGUGGUGGCAGAGGUAUAUGGUGGAAUGGAGGAAUUUUAGGGAUAAGUGGUGGGCAUGGCUUUUUGUAAAUUGGAACAGGUGGUGGCAGGGGUUUUACGUAAACUGGAACUGGAGGAGGAAGUGGCUUUACUACUGGUGGUUCUGGUUUGGGCUUGGGUUUGUAAGUUGGAACUUUAGGGGGGCAUGGCUUUUUAAUUGGAGGAGGCUUUGGUUUUGGAACUGGAGGUUCUGGUUUCGGCUUGUAGACGGGAACUGGAGGAGGCUUUGGUUUCGGCUUGUAGACGGGAACGGGAGGAGGAAUUGGUUUUGGUUUGUAAACAGGAACGGGAGGAGGAAUUGGUUUUGGUUUGUAAACAGGAACGGGAGGAGGAAUUGGUUUUGGUUUGUAAACUGGAACGGGAGGAG